rnacentral:rRNA from 1 species
GAAAGGAGAAAGUGCCGUUUGGAACGUAUACACAGGUGGUGCACGGCUGUCGUCAGCUCGUGUCGAGAGAUGUUGGGUUAAGUCCCGCAACGAGCGCAACCCUCAUUUUUAGUUGCCUUAUGGAACUCUAAAAAGACUGCCGGUUAUAAACCGGAGGAAGGCGGGGAUGACGUCAAGUCAGCAUGCCCCUUACACCCUGGGCUACACACGUGCUACAAUGGGCGAGACAAUGAGAUGCAAAUCUGCGAAGACUAGCUAAUCUAUAAACUCGCUCUAAGUUCGGAUUGUAGGCUGCAACUCGCCUGCAUGAAGUUGGAAUCGCUAGUAAUCGCUGGUCAGCUAUACAGCGGUGAAUUCGUUCCCGGGCCUUGUACACACCGCCCGUCACACCAUGGAAGCUGGUUAUGCCCGAAGUCGUACUCUAACCUUUUGGAGGAGGACGCUAAGUAGAA